GCCUCCACAAAUAAUAAAAUUGUAUUAUUCACAACACAUGGUACAAAUUAUCGAUUAUAAGAUUGAUACAACUCACAAAAGCUGAUACUAUAUCAGUAACAGCUACAAAAUAUACAAAAAAUAUAAUGUAUAUGAUACAUAGUUGAUUAAAACUAUUCUAACUGUAUAUUUUGAACUACAUCUGAUACUAUAUUCUUUUCACUUGAUACAAAUAGGUAAACUUGAUACUUUGAAUAUUUAGAAUAGUUUUACAUGUUGUAUAUUAUAACUUUUGUACACAUCACAACAAUUGGUAUUACUUUAAUAUCUCACGCCAAAGUUAUAAAAA
rnacentral:lncRNA from 1 species